AACGCACCUUGCGCCCUCUGGUAUUCCGGAGGGCAUGCCUGUUUGAGUGUCAUUAAAUUCUCAACUUCAUAAGUUUUUAUUAACUUUGUGAAGCUUGGAUGUGGAGGUUUGCUGGCGUCUCAGAUGUUCAGCUCCUCUUAAAUAUAUUAGUGGAACCCCGUUUUGUUGGUCCAUCUUGGUGUGAUAAUUAUCUACGCUUUGUUUGGUUCAACUUGUCAGGUUAAGCCUUUGAUUAGGUUGUCCUGGUUGGGAUAUUGCAUUAGUUUGCUUUAUCUGAUGGGAAAAGUCUGCUUUCUAACCGUCUGUGUAUGCGGACAAUUUAUUGACUAUUUGACCUCAAAUCAGGUAGGACUACCCGCUGAACUUAA
rnacentral:rRNA from 1 species